ACCCUUUAAUGUUUGAUGUUCUAACGUAGACCCGUGAUCCGGGUUGCGGACAGUGUCUGGUGGGUAGUUUGACUGGGGCGGUCUCCUCCCAAAGAGUAACGGAGGAGCACGAAGGUUAGCUAAUCCUGGUCGGACAUCAGGAGGUUAGUGCAAUGGCAUAAGCUAGCUUGACUGCGAGCGUGACGGCGCGAGCAGGUGCGAAAGCAGGUCAUAGUGAUCCGGUGGUUCUGAAUGGAAGGGCCAUCGCUCAACGGAUAAAAGGUACUCCGGGGAUAACAGGCUGAUACCGCCCAAGAGUUCAUAUCGACGGCGGUGUUUGGCACCUCGAUGUCGGCUCAUCACAUCCUGGGGCUGAAGUAGGUCCCAAGGGUAUGGCUGUUCGCCAUUUAAAGUGGUACGCGAGCUGGGUUUAGAACGUCGUGAGACAGUUCGGUCCCUAUCUGCCGUGGGCGCUGGAGAAUUGAGGGGGGCUGCUCCUAGUACGAGAGGACCGGAGUGGACGCAUCACUGGUGUUCGGGUUGUCAUGCCAAUGGCAUUGCCCGGUAGCUAAAUGCGGAAAAGAUAAGUGCUGAAAGCAUCUAAGCACGAAACUUGCCCCGAGAUGA
rnacentral:rRNA from 1 species